CGCUCUCUGAAAACAUAUUAAGUAAUUUUAUAUGAGUUUGUAUAGAGAGUCGGACCUGCCCGGUGACAAAUAUUGUUAAACGGCCGCGGUACUCUGACCGUGCAAAGGUAGCAUAAUCAUUUGCCUCUUAAUUGGGGGCUGGUAUGAAUGGUUUGACGAAAACUAAGCUGUCUCUUUUUAAAUAUAUAAAAAUUAGCCUAUAGGUGAAGAGACCUAGAUUUAAUUGAGGGACAAGAAGACCCCAUUGAGCUUUAAUAAUCUAAUAAAUUAUAGUCAACUAUGAUGAAUUAUAGUUAUUACAUUUGAUGAAGAUUUUAUUUAUUAGAAAUUUUUAGUUGGGGCGACUGAGGAACACUAAAAGCUUCCUUUAAUAUAAAUUAUGUAUUAUGAAAUACAAUUUAGAUUAUAGCUGAUCCAGUAUAUAUUGAUCAAAGGAAAAAGUUACCAUGGGGAUAACAGCGUAAUCUUUCUAAAGAGUUCUUAUCGAAGGAAGGGUUUGCGACCUCGAUGUUGGACUAAGAUAUCCUAGAGAUGCAGAAGUUUCUAAUGGUUAGUCUGUUCGACUAUUAAAAUCUU
rnacentral:rRNA from 1 species